rnacentral:rRNA from 1 species
AUUGAACGCUGGCGGAAUGCUUUACACAUGCAAGUCGAACGGCAGCACGGACUUCGGUCUGGUGGCGAGUGGCGAACGGGUGAGUAAUGUAUCGGAACGUGCCCAGUCGGGGGGGAUAACGUAGUGAAAAUUACGCUAAUACCGCAUACGAUCUAUGGCUGAAAGCGGGGGAUCGCAAGACCUCGCGCGAUUGGAGCGGCCGAUAUCAGAUGAGGUAGUUGGUGGGGUAAAGGGCCACCAAGCCAACGAUCUGUAGCUGGUCUGAGAGGACGACCAGCCACACUGGAAAUGAGACACGGUCCAGACUCCUACGGGAGGCAGCAGUGGGGAAUUUUGGACAAUGGGCGAAAGCCUGAUCCAGCCAUUCCGCGUGCAGGAUGAAGGCCCUCGGGUUGUAAACUGCUUUUGUACAGAACGAAAAGGUUUCUACUAAUACUAGGAGCUCAUGACGGUACUGUAAGAAUAAGCACCGGCUAACUACGUGCCAGCCGCCGCGGUAA